UCUGAGUUGGAAGCCAGGACGAGCUCCCUUCCAAUUGGUCGAUCUUCUCCUGUGCGGCCGCCAACUCGACCUCGAGAGAUCUGAUCUUGGAGGUCUGAGUCUAAGAUCGGUCACUGGCGUAUUUCUAGAGUUCCUCAUGCUCCUUCUCGAAGUUGGCCUUCUUCUGGCUGUAGUCCAUGAAGUCCUUUUUGUGGAGGUUCCGAAGGCGAGUAACCUCCAUGGUGGCUUCCGAAUGGCUCUUCCUCAGCUUGUGAAGUUUGUCGUCCAUCUUCUUUGAUUUUUUUGUUAGGUGACGAACUUUCCUUCUCAGAUCCCGGAUCAUAGACUUCAAAGAAAUCUCCUGC
rnacentral:lncRNA from 1 species